UACGUAGGGUGCAAGCGUUAAUCGGAAUUACUGGGCGUAAAGCGUGCGCAGGCGGUUGUGCAAGACAGAUGUGAAAUCCCCGGGCUCAACCUGGGAACUGCAUUUGUGACUGCAUAGCUAGAGUACGGUAGAGGGGGAUGGAAUUCCGCGUGUAGCAGUGAAAUGCGUAGAUAUGCGGAGGAACACCGAUGGCGAAGGCAAUCCCCUGGACCUGUACUGACGCUCAUGCACGAAAGCGUGGGGAGCAAACAGG
rnacentral:rRNA from 1 species